UACGUAGGGGGCAAGCGUUGUCCGGAAUUAUUGGGCGUAAAGCGCGUGUAGGCGGCCCGGUAAGUCCGCUGUGAAAGUCGGGGGCUCAACCCUCGAAUGCCGGUGGAUACUGUCGGGCUAGAGUGCGGAAGAGGCGAGUGGAAUUCCUGGUGUAGCGGUGAAAUGCGUAGAUAUCUGGAGGAACACCGGUGGCGAAGGCGGCUCACUGGCCCGGUACUGACGCUGAGGCACGAAAGCGUGGGGAGCAAACAGG
rnacentral:rRNA from 1 species